CGAACGCUGGCGGCGUGCCUAAUACAUGCAAGUCGAACGCACUCUCGUUUAGAUUGAAGGGAGCUUUGCUCCUGAUUGAUAAACAUUUGAGUGAGUGGCGGACGGGUGAGUAACACGUGGGUAACCUGCCCUAAAGUGGGGGAUAACAUUUGGAAACAGAUGCUAAUACCGCAUAAAACCUAACACCGCAUGGUGUAGGGUUGAAAGAUGGUUUCGGUUAUCACUUUAGGAUGGACCCGCGGUGCAUUAGUUAGUUGGUGAGGUAAAGGCUCACCAAGACCGUGAUGCAUAGCCGACCUGAGAGGGUAAUCGGCCACACUGGGACUGAGACACGGCCCAGACUCCUACGGGAGGCAGCAGUGGGGAAUCUUCCACAAUGGACGAAAGUCUGAUGGAGCAACGCCGCGUGAGUGAAGAAGGUUUUCGGAUCGUAAAACUCUGUUGUUGGAGAAGAAUGUAUCUGAUAGUAACUGAUCAGGUAGUGACGGUAUCCAACCAGAAAGCCACGGCUAACUACGUG
rnacentral:rRNA from 1 species